rnacentral:rRNA from 1 species
CAAUAGCGUAUAUUAAAGUUGUUGCGGUUAAAAAGCUCGUAGUUGGAUUUCUGCUGAGAACGACCGGUCCGCCCUUUGGGUGUGUAUCUGGCUCUUUCUUGGCAUCUUCUUGGUGAACGUUGCUGCACUUGACUGUGUGGAGCGCUACCCAGGACUUUUACUUUGAGGAAAUUAGAGUGUUUCAAGCAGGCAUACGCCUUGAAUACAUUAGCAUGGAAUAAUAAGAUAGGAUCUCGGUUCUAUUUUGUUGGUUUCUAGAGCUGAGGUAAUGAUUAAUAGGGAUAGUUGGGGGCAUUCGUAUUUAACUGUCAGAGGUGAAAUUCUUGGAUUUGUUAAAGACGGACUACUGCGAANGNAUUUGCNAAGGAUGUUUNCAUUG